rnacentral:rRNA from 1 species
UACGUAGGGUGCAAGCGUUAAUCGGAAUUACUGGGCGUAAAGCGUGCGCAGGCGGUUUGGUAAGACAGAUGUGAAAUCCCCGGGCUUAACCUGGGAAUUGCAUUUGUGACUGCCCGGCUAGAGUGUGUCAGAGGGGGGUAGAAUUCCGACGUGUAGCAGUGAAAUGCGUAGAGAUGUGGAGGAAUACCGAUGGCGAAGGCAGCCCCCUGGGAUAACACUGACGCUCAUGCACGAAAGCGUGGGGAGCAAACAGG